rnacentral:rRNA from 1 species
UACGAAGGGGGCUAGCGUUGUUCGGAAUUACUGGGCGUAAAGCGUGCGCAGGCGGUCCUUCAAGUCAGGGGUGAAAGCCCAGAGCUCAACUCUGGAAUUGCCUUUGAAACUGCAGGACUUGAGUAUGAGAGAGGUGAGUGGAAUUCCCAGUGUAGAGGUGAAAUUCGUAGAUAUUGGGAAGAACACCGGUGGCGAAGGCGGCUCACUGGCUCAUAACUGACGCUCAUGCACGACAGCGUGGGGAUCAAACAGG